GGAAAGGUACAAAAGUGGUUUAAUUGGCACGCCUGGAAAGCGUGUGUCCUUCACGGGACCGAGGGUUCGAAUCCCUCCCUUUCCG
rnacentral:tRNA from 1 species